CAGGAUGGACCCGCGUCUGAUUAGCUAGUUGGUAAGGUAACGGCUUACCAAGGCGACGAUCAGUAGCCGACCUGAGAGGGUGAUCGGCCACAUUGGAACUGAGACACGGUCCAAACUCCUACGGGAGGCAGCAGUGGGGAAUAUUGCACAAUGGGCGAAAGCCUGAUGCAGCAACGCCGCGUGAGUGAUGAAGGCCUUCGGGUCGUAAAACUCUGUCCUCAAGGAAGAUAAUGACGGUACUUGAGGAGGAAGCCCCGGCUAACUACGUGCCA
rnacentral:rRNA from 1 species